rnacentral:rRNA from 1 species
UGCGAUAGGAGCAUCCCAAGUGCGAGGGCAUAUUACCCCCCGUUUUUGGCGACUCAAGGGGGGUCAACAAAUAAGACCGGGCAAAAACGGGGGCCGCCCCCCGGGUUAAUCCGGGCGGCUCAGGGGAGGUCCCAUAUUUUUGGGCCUAAGGCGUCCGUAGCUGGCCGGCCAAGUCUUUGGGGAAAUCCACCGGCCCAACGGGUGGGCGUCCGGGGAAAACUGGCGGGUUUGGAACCGGAGGGCUCAGAGGGUACGUCGGGGGUAGAAGUGAAAUCCGGUAACCCGGGAGGGACCCCCGAUGGCAAAAGCACUCUGAAAAAAGGGAUUCAACAGUGAGGGACGAAGGCUGGGGUCUCAAACCGGAUUAAAUCCCGGGGUAGCCCGAGCGGUAAACAAUGCUGGUUAGGUGUGGCACCCACUACAAGUGGUUGCUGCCCCGAAGGAAAGCCGCAAAACGACCCGCCGGGAAAGUACGCCCGCAAGGAUGAAAUUUAAAGAAAUUGCGGGGGGGAACCAAAAAA